rnacentral:tRNA from 1 species
GGAGAGGUGGCCGAGUGGCCGAAGGCGCAACAUUGGAAAUGUUGUGAGGGUAACACCUCCGUGAGUUCGAAUCUCAUCCUCUCCUCCA